GCCCAGCCAGGAGCCAUCCCUGGAACUUCCCUGCUUGUUUUCCUGAGACCCAGGCAUAGCACAUCCUUUUGGGGAACUUUCUGGAAUGUGGCCGCAAGAAACCCCUCUCCCAAAGGCUUUAGAGAAAAUCCAUGAAACCGUCUGCAGAAGAACAUGCUUCCAAAGCAGAGGGGUUUACCCGCAGUGAGUCUGUUCUGGAUGCUGUAGGAAAGGAUUCCGUCCUCCUUCCCAGGUGCGGGGUCCCGCUCAGCUUCUGAUGGAAACUGGACCCCUGACUUCCAGGGGCCAUGUCCCUGCUUCUGCGGCCUGAGGAUUAGUGAUUCCCGAAACUCAGGCUGUGGGUGUUGAACCGUCUUCGUGGACAAUGAAAACCCUUCUGAUGGGACAUCUCACACUUUAAGGCCAGAUGAGGGCCUCUCCCCUGAGGCCUUGUGGAGGCAGCGUACGGCAGUGAGCCUGUGCCUGGCUGUCCUGGAACUCUGCUGCUGCUCUCCAGUCUCAUCCGAUGCUUGUCUGCAGGGGCCUUGCUGUCAUGGUGGCUCCCAGUCAACCACAGACGAAAGCAGACCCGAGCUAGGCAGCAUGGGGCUCCUCCGACAGCUGGUUUUGCUCCCAGGGCCCCCCCAGACUGUGAGCCUAAGACCCUCUCACCAACCAUCCCUAUCUCACCUCCACUCUGGGUGCCUUACAUGGCUUCUCUCCCCAUUUUCUCUCACACAAGUAUUUUCCCUUUUUAAAAAAAUCUUGACACAUUUAAUACCAUCUUGGUGUCUCUUCUUGGGAGACCUUAACACAUUUAAGAGAAUAAGUGUCCAGCAGUGCUAGAGUCAAGCUUUAGCACUCAGCUCAUUAGAAGCAAAGUAACCUCUCUGUCUCAGUUUACCUAUCUGUAAACUGGGAAUAAUUUUAGUAUAGUUUUCAGAAAGUCGUUCUGACUAUUCAAUGAGACAGCGCUCGCCUGUCGGUUAACCCUGUUUCUGACAUUUAUUUAGUACUCGUUGCUCGUUCUUAAGUCAAAACUAUUUUUAGGACUCUUUAGUCCAAGGUACAUCAAGCUAUUUUAUAUAAACUGUAGUAGAAACUCUAAUAACGUGAAAGACGAGACUUUUCAAGGUAAAAUCAGAGCCAUUCUUCCUGUGAAGGCGUAUCUGGGGACGCAAUCUGACCUACCAUAUCAGCAGACCGAGGGCACGCUGAGAUGGAUGCUUGAUAGCAAGGUCCUGGGCUGCCCUUUGACAUGUGGCGAUUAUGUUAUGAGAGCUGGGGUAGGAGUAAUGCAGAAUGGCAUCCUCAGAGGUGAGGGGUACACCUCAAACCUCUUUAUUUUUACUCCAGCUUCCAGAUUCCAAUCUUGUCACGGUGGACAGAUAACUUCUUGUUAGGACUUUAUUACAGAUGACCUGACUUCUCAUCCAGGGAUGAUACAUUCAAUCAUAAGCGUGGUUCAUUUCCUAAAAUUCUCAGUGUCCCUUUAGCUCCCUUGUCGCCAAAGCAUUAUAUCUUGCCUUUGUUCACCACUGUUACUGGCUUGUGGAAGGCACAGAAGAGCCACCAGAGUGAGGCCGGGAUGAUGACGGAACAGUCCGUCAGGGAGAAACUGUUGGCAUGUGACCCUGAAACUGCAGGCAAGGCAUGUGCCACCCCCUGGAACCAUCCCUAGGGCUUCGUAUAGCAGAACACAGUACUUCUUUCAAUGGCUUUUCCUGAGCAUGAACUAGCUGUGUGGGAUGCAGAGAAAUAUGUGACAAGCAUUCAAGGAACUUACAAUGAAUUCAUUUUUUAAAUAAACUCUGCUAAUCUGACCAAGUGGAAUAAUUUCCACUGGCAUUGAAAAAAAAAAGAGGAGCCAAGAGUCGUUAAGCAACUCAGCCAUAGUUCUGUGCUGGUCCAUUUUAUGAAUGACUUGGAUAAAGUUAUAAAGGGCACAUUUAUCAAGCUGGACAUGGCACGGGGCUGGGAAGAAUAAUGAAUACAGUACAUUGAAGGAAGGACUUCACAGUUUGGAAUGUUGAACAGAAUCUAACAACAUGAAGUGUAUCAGCAAAUCAAUGUCAGGUUUGCCAGUGACCAUGUGACUUUAAAUACGUUACUUAGCCUCUCUCUGUCUUCGGGCCCUUAGGUGUAAAAUAGGAAUGAUGGCAGUCCCUACACAUAGGCUUGUUCUCGGAAUUUCACUCAAUGCCUGAAAAGUGCCUGACCCAUCAGAGAUGCUGAGCAGAUGUAGCAAGAACUCCUUUUGGUCUGUAGCUGCCUGAUGGAAGUGUAGGGGACUCUUCAAAAGGUGGGAUGAGUCUCUGUGCCUGGUGCUUGUCAAACCACAUUAUGGGGCGUAUGUCCGGUAAAUACCGCACUUUAAGAGAGAGCUAGAAAAACUGGAUUGAGCUCAGAGAAAAGUAACCAUGACGGUGAGAAAGCUUAGAAUCAUAUGAUGAAAGGAUGAAAGAACUAAGUAUAUUUAGCCUGAAGUAGAGAAGACUCAGCAUUUUCUAAUAUUUGAAAGGUCCUCAUAUUGUAGAUGGUUGAGAUUUAUUCUCUCCCCAGGGGCCAGAGGUGACUAUUUCAGAAAGACAAAUUUUAGCUCAAUCUAAGGAAGAACUUUGCUAGUAAUCAGAGCUGCUCAAGGAUGGUAACAACUCCUUCAGGAAGAAAGGAGGUCCUUGUCAGGAGAGGUGAUAAUAGGCCAGAUGGUGAGGCGAUGGAUGGACAGGGGACCUUUAAUGUCCAAUCUCUGAAGUUCCAUGAUUUUGAGAAUAAACAGCGCUUAGUCAAGAUAACAGGUCCAAAAAAUUUUUGUCUGUAGAUUGAUUUUUUAUAUACGCAGGUAGAAGAUCCAAGACCAUCAGAUGAGUCUGAUGGUGGUGAUUUGCCUUCCGUGUUCACUGGUGGGGGUGGGGCAGGAAUAGUGGGGUCCGGGGCCCUCCAUCCAUCGGGUUCUAGAGGAAGCAUGGCCUGGUCGCCUGUCCUCCUGGCUUUGUUGGAGGUACGUGAGCCCAGUAGUUCAAAAACAGACCUUCUGCCUGGCUGGAUGCAUGCAGCCAAAUAAAGAGAAGCUAAACAGACUGCUUCUUGUUUAUCUUUCUUAAUCUCCUUUAAACCUCUUCCUGCCUCAGCCAGCAGUAAGCCCGUCACAGAGGGUUAACCUACCCCUCUUUCUUUUUGGUGUUUAAUGUCACUGAUAUUUGUGUUUCCUGUUUGCUUUGGUUCUAUUUGUUGUUUAAAACAAACUUCAUUAUGUUCAUGCUAAUUAAUUAUCUUCUUUUAUGUCGUGUUUUCAUGACUUUUUCUUAUUUGGAUUGUACCUUCACUUUCCCACUACUAGAAUAUAAAAUGUGGAAUAGCAUGUAUAUAGUAUUGCUUUAAAAAUCAGUUAAUGUUACAGGGCAUUUCCAUCAUGGCUCAGCAGCUAACGAAUCUGACUAGCAUCCAUGAGGACGCAGGUUCGAUCCCUGGCCUCGCUCAGUGGCUUAAGGAUCCCACAUUGCCAGUGAGCUGUGGUGUAGGGUGCAGAUGUGGCUCGGAUCCUAUGUUGCUGUGGCUGUGGUGUAGGCCAGCAGCUAUAGCUCCUUUUCGGUCCCUAGCCUGGGAACCUCCAUGUGCCAUGGGUGUGGCCCUAAAAAGCAAAAAAACAAACAAAAAAUCAGUUAAUGUUACAACAUAACAUAUAGAUAUCUGUUAUUAGGUGCAGUCUCCUGAGAGUUACAAAUGAUGUUCCUCAAUCAUAGCAAAGAUUUUAAUUGUAUUUACUUUCUUUUGGUUGAUUUACUUUCAUUUGGAGCCACCAGAAUGCUCUAGGGCUCUUCCCAGAACCACAAGGUUUGGAGGUGAAACAUGACUGAUUUUCUUAAAGGUACAAGCUUCUCCCAGUUUACAUGUGGACUGAAAGUGCUGGUUCAUACUCUAGCACUUCACAGGACUUGGAGAAGAGGCUUUACUAUGACCUUUAACUGCCUGCCUGGGUAUGUGACGUCAGAACGAAGCCAUUCAUUUGCUUUCUGAUAACUGGCAUUGACUCAGCACUGUCUGCUCAUUCUACUUCAUAGCUGUCUAUCCGCAGGAUUUCUGAAGCUGGAAGAGCGGGUUAAGUCCGUUGGAGCUUGUGUCCACCCAGCUUCCCUACACUGGAAGUCCUUGUAAUUGUCCUUUUCCCAACAGGAGCCUCUUUCUCCUGCCUCCUCUCCUCUGUCCCGUUUGAAUUUGACUUCAUAAACGACAAAAGCUAUAUUCAUCUUAUUGCUUCAGAAUAUUCUUUACAGCAGGUAUUCAGUUCACUCUCACACUUUCCAUAAGGUACCUGUUGCCUGUGGAUUUUCCAUUCAUUCCGAACAUACCAAAUCCUUUCCAUGUGCCUUGCCCUGUGCUGAGUAAGAACAGAGGAGAUAAAACAAGACAUUGGCAUUGCCCUCCAGGAGCUUGUGGUCCAAAGGCAGAGAGAUAGAAAGUGGCAGUGCCGGGAUGCUGGCCAAGGAGGGUGCAUCUGGAGCAGAAGGAAGGAUGCAUGUCCAAACAAUGGGAAAGGGGUCCGUAUAGGGUGGGGGUACCUGAAAGAAAUGAGACUUCAUCAGUCUUGAAGGAAAUUUUCCAGAGCCAAUAUUUGGAAAAGAACAAUUUUUCUAAGGGAGUUUUAUAAGGAGGAAUGUAGUGUUUUCCUCAUAAUGAGUUUAUUUUGUUUUCCUGUAGACUCAUGAAAUGUUUGGUUGCCAUGUGAAAAUUAAAACUUAGAAAGAAGGGGUGUGUAAUCCAAUCUGCACAGACCUGAACUAGUCUCAUGCUCUUCACACCUUAUUGGACCUUCCUUUGAUGCCCAUGAUAAAGAUGAACUAAUGUAUAGAAAAGCAUUUCAUAAAAAUAAAGGGAGCCAUACAAGUUAUGGCUUUCUGUUUUAAGAUUAUCACACACAUCGUUUUUGGAAUAUUUUUUACUCCUUUUGAAUUCCCUGGUUAUUUUAAAUCUGAAUAACUGAAAUCCUUUGGAAAGAUGAAGCAAAGAACACUCUGCAAUCCAUGUAGAUAUGCCACUGGAAUGAUAAAUCUAGUACAUGCACUGAAAAACAGGGAGAAAAAGAGAGUGGUUGGUGCUUUUUAAAAAUUGCUUUCACUGUACACAGCCAUGAAGCCUGUUUGUUUGGACAGAUUUUUUUUUUUUUGCCUCUAACAUAUUCGUUGAUGAACUUUUUAUUCUGACAUUGGUUCAUCUCUUUGCACGAAACACUUUUUAUCUUGCAGCAGCUUCAUUCCCUCAGACCUCCACAAGUGUCAGGCCCCGAGAUUUAUUAUCCAGCAGCGUGUAGCCCAGGAUGAAGUUCACAUUCAAAUACGGUGAGAACAGGAUUACUUACACAUGACACCUGCUCCAGCGACACCCCAUUCAUCCUCCGGCAAGACUUCUAGAAACCUCAGAUAUCUAAACAGACAACGCUGGGGGUAAGAGACAGGGUUCAAGGCACAGAGUGACUCCCCAGAACCAAGUCUGUUGAUUAGGAGUUGAAAGUAGUCAGAGGUUGGGAGUUCCUUCCUAUCAUGGUUCAACAGUAAUGAACCCAACUAGUAUCCAUGAGGACGUAGGUUUGAUCCCUGGCCUCCCUCAGUGGGUAAGGAUCCGGGAUUGCCAUGAGCUGUGGCAUAGGUUGCAGACGCGGCUCAGAUCUGGUGUUGCUGUGGAUGUGGUGUAAGCUGGCAGCUGCAGCCCCGAUUCAACCCCUAGCCUAGGAACCUCCAUAUGCUGUGGGGCUGGCCCUAAAAAGGACAAAAAGAAAAAAAGAAAAAAAGAAAGAAAGUAGUCGGAGGUUAGUGAUGAAACAAGCAUGACUUCCUUUCCUCCAGGGAGAGAGCAAUAGAUGCUUUAGAAAAGAGAGGCAGGCUGGGCGGGGGCCUUGAGAAGGGGGCCUUCAAGGGGGAAUCUAAGAUUCGGAUUCCACAGCCAAGUUGAGGCCAUCAACAGGGGAGGUAAUGCCUCCAGCGGAAUUGGUCUGACAGCUACCGUGCUGCCCGAGAGAGCCCUCAGUGACGUGCCCGAAUCAUGUUCUGCAGGGAGGGCCGGCCUUGCUCCCUAAACAACACCCAGCUCUGAGGGGCGAUCCUGAACAUGCAGUGGGCUCACCCUCAGGACAGACGCCCCCCAGCGCUGGAGACCAUGGCUUUGUUCUGUGCUGGUGCCACAGAGCCCGCAUCAGCCCUGAGUGGAUGUCUGCAGCCAGGCGUCAUCCAUGACAAUACUCCUCUCCAUUAACACAGAGCCUUGAGAGAUGGUUUUAUGUGCCACCCUGCCAUUUAAUGUCAUUGAUUCUGCAGAAUGGGGCCCUCGGCGCCCAUCAACAGUGACAGCACCUGGGGUACUGGUGUUCCAGAACAGUUCCAAAUGUCCUGCAACAGGGGCAAAAAGCUCCUAUUUUGUCUUUAAUCUGAGCCUUAUGGAUUUGAGCAAAUGCCACUAGACCUCUCUGGCCCUCAGUUUUCUCACUGGGAACUGAGGAAACUGAAUUCGUAGCAAGAACAGUUGACAUUUCCCGGAUACAUACUAGGUGCCAGGUCCCCAGGUGAAUGCCUUCUAGAUAUCAGACUUAAUUCUCGAACAACCUAUGAGGUUAUCCUCCCUUUUUGGGUGAAGACCUUGGAAGGACAAGGAACAUGCCUGAGGUCUCAUCGCUGAUGAUAGGCAGAGAUGGCAUUUGAACCACAGCGUCCAGCUAGUAACUUGAGGGGGUACUGAGGUCCCUCCCCCCUUUAACAUCCCCCUCUGUUUUCUGAUUAGGGUGUCUAAAAACCUUAGCAGAAGAAUGAGCACUGAGGGAUUAUUACCAGCUUCGCUGCACUCCUCGGCACAGAGGUGAUCAGAGAUCAUUUGCCUCCUGCAGAGCCUUUUGUGUUCCUGUCACCCAGCCUUUAAAACGCCCCCUGGGGACCUCUAGGCUUUCUCCAUAAUCCUCAAAGCAUCCUUUCAGCAAAUACACCUGCAGGCCCCCACCCACUCCUCUUUUUCUCUGUUUAUUUGAGACUGUAAAGACUGUGUAUUCUGUCUCUGGAAUAUAGGGUCAUUCUCAGCAAGGUUAGUUGGUUUGUUUUUUUACCAUUUUCACAAGGGGAAGGUACUCUUAUUACAAAGAAAGGAGCAACUGUCUUGGUGGUACUAUUUGAAAUUGAUGAAUCUUUAAGUGGAUUAGAAGCCCGUCCUUAGUCCGUGUGUAUAGAUGGAAGCAGAAGUGCGAGGGCGUGGGGUGCUGGCUGUGUAGGUGCUGGCUGAGUGCAGGGCUGCAAUGGAAUUGCUUCGGGCUGCUGGGCACUUAGUUGUUCUAGUCCCUCGGUGUCGUCAAUUCUUCAUCUGUAACACACGAGGACAGUGAUCAUGUGUAUGCUACCUGUUCCCAAGUACACGUUAUUUUCACGUUUUUUACUUCUUUUACUCCUCACCUGCAAGGACAAGUAUUUUGUAAAUAAGGAAACUGGAGAGUUUCCGUCAUUGUGGCUCAGUGGAAACGAAUCCGACUAGGAACCAUGAGGUUGUGGGUUCGAUCCCUGGCCUUGCUCAGUGGGUUAAGGAUCUGGCGUUGCCAUGAGCUGUGGUGUAGGUUGCAGACUCGGCUCAGAUCCCACAUUGCUAUGGCUGUGGUAUAGGCUGGAGGCUGUAGCUCCCAUUCAACCCCUAGCCAGGGAACCUCCAUAUGUUGCGGGUGCGGCCCUAAAAA
rnacentral:lncRNA from 1 species